rnacentral:tRNA from 1 species
UGAAGGAGUAAAGUGCCAAACGCACCAGCAAAUGGUGAUGGGCCUUUAGCUCAGCUGGUAGAGCUACGGACUUUUA